AACGAACGCUGGCGGCAGGCUUAACACAUGCAAGUCGAACGGAUGUAGCAAUACAUCAGUGGCAGACGGGUGAGGAACACGUGGGAAUAUUCCUUUCAGUUCGGAAUAACGUUGGGAAACUAACGCUAAUACCGGAUACGUCCUUCGGGAGAAAGAUUUAUCGCUGAAAGAUUAGCCCGCGUCUGAUUAGCUAGUUGGUGAGGUAAUGGCUCACCAAGGCGACGAUCAGUAGCUGGUCUGAGAGGAUGAUCAGCCACAUUGGGACUGAGACACGGCCCAAACUCCUACGGGAGGCAGCAGUGGGGAAUAUUGGACAAUGGGCGCAAGCCUGAUCCAGCCAUGCCGCGUGAGUGAUGAAGGCCUUCGGGUUGUAAAGCUCUUUUGCCCGGGAAGAUAAUGACUGUACCGGAAGAAUAAGCCCCGGCAAACUUCGUGCCAGCCGCCGCCGUAA
rnacentral:rRNA from 1 species